AUUGAACGCUGGCGGCAGGCCUAACACAUGCAAGUCGAACGAGUGGCGGACGGGUGAGUAAUGUCUGGGAAACUGCCCGAUGGAGGGGGAUAACUACUGGAAACGGUAGCUAAUACCGCAUACCAUCGGAUGUGCCCAGAUGGGAUUAGCUAGUAGGUGGGGUAAAGGCUCACCUAGGCGACGAUCCCUAGCUGGUCUGAGAGGAUGACCAGCACCACGGGGCCUGAGACACGGUCCAGACUCCUCAGGGAGGCAGCAGUGGGGAAUAUUGCACAAUGGGCGCAAGCCUGAUGCAGCCAUGCCGCGUGUAUGAAGAAGUCCUUCGGGUUGUAAAGUACUUUCAGCGAGGAGGCGUUACUCGCAGAAGAAGCACCGGCUAACUCCGUGCCAGCAGCCGCGGUAAUUC
rnacentral:rRNA from 1 species